AUGAAAUUUCUUAGGUCCGGUUCUCCACGAGAUAGGCAUUGACCCACAGAAGUUAGUCCUUCUUCCCUUAAAAACUCGUUCCGACUUAUCAAACUUGGAUUGAAGUUGAGAGGUUCGUUAAAGCUCAUGGUAUGUAGAAUGGUAUUCAUAAUGGAUUCCCAAGACCUACCCAUCUGUCUCCAAUAUUGACCGAUAUAUAUAUAUAGCUCCGAUGGUCCCAUAAAUAAUCUGUAAGUCAGAUCAUGACCCAUUCUUUUCUCGAACUCACCCUUGAUCCUCAACGCCCAGAAAUCAAUGUUAUUCCUCAGUCUUGUAAACCAAGAGAAGUUCAGCAGUUUAUACAGCCUCUACGUUUGGAGAUCUGAGGCCCCAUUCUUCGAUUCGCGUAUUUAUGUGCCCCCCUCUCAAAAUGUAGGCUCUUGAUUCACCCCCCCAUUAAUUUUCCCCUCAAUUUGUAAAUAUGCUCACAUAUUUCGUUGGAGAAAGGAGUAUAUCUCAAGAUGUGGAUGACUUUAGUUAUUAUGAUUUGGUUCCAGACCUUGAGCUUUUCAAAUCUGGUUAUGGGUACACCUUUAAAAAAGCUCCCAAAGCGGACGUGGACACUUGGAACCCUAGUAGGGUUGCCGCUGAGACGAAUUUGAAUUUCCCAAAUUGUGGCAUCAGAUCUUCCUCACAAUUGGUAACGAUCAUCGUCUUUCCUAUAUUAACCGAUAGUCCGGACUGUAUUUUAAAUUUUCCCAAUUUAUCGAAGAUUGCACGAAGGGAUUCUGUUACUUUCUCUCUGGAGCCUGAACAGAAAACGGCGACAUCAUCAGCAUAUAAAAGACAUUUCUGAGACCAUUCAUUGCUAUUUUGAAAAGAGAAGAGGAAAGAAGAUCUCCUUGUCGAGCCCCUCUAAAGAUAGAGAAUCUAUGAGAGGAUCCCCGGAAUACCAACUAAUGUUUUGGAGUUUCGAAGUAUUGCAUAGAUUUUUUCAAUGAAUCCCUCCGGAAUGCCAAAGAGUGUCAAUUGUUCGAUGAUGUAUUUAUGUGAAACUGAGUCAAAUGUUUUCUCAAAAUCCAUGAGCACCCCCACAUACUUACUUUCUGUUGAAGAUUAAAUAGCAUCCUGAACUGAGCGUGGAAUAUUUUCUAUGAGGCAAAGUUUUAUAAACCCUUUUUGAGACGGAGAGAUGAUUUGUGGGAGAUAUUUCAUUAUUUGGCGAUUAAGAAUGCCUGAUCAACGUCAGAGAGCCACAACUCAAAAAGUCUGGGAUAAAGUGCAUUUCUUAUAUAUUUCCUCGAAAACCUUCACGAGUAUUGGUGAUAGAAGUAAAUCAAACUCUUUAUAGUA
rnacentral:lncRNA from 1 species